rnacentral:rRNA from 1 species
CGCAUCUGUGCAUGCAGCAUAUCAAUAAGCGGAGGAAAAGAAACUAACAAGGAUUCCCCUAGUAACGGCGAGUGAAGCGGGAAGAGCUCAAAUUUGAAAUCUUAAAGGGUUUCCCUUUACGAAUUGUAGUUUAAAGAAGUGUUUUCUGUUGAGGGUUUUGGUAAAAGUUCUUUGGAAUAGGACAUCAUAGAGGGUGAGAAUCCCGUAUUUGACCUUUACUUUCAACUUUGUGAUACACUUUCAAAGAGUCGGAUUGUUUGGGAAUGCAGUCCAAAAUGGGUGGUAAAUUUCAUCUAAAGCUAAAUAUUGGCGAGAGACCGAUAGCGAACAAGUACCGUGAGGGAAAGAUGAAAAGAACUUUGAAAAGAGAGUUAAACAGUACGUGAAAUUGUCAAAAGGGAAGCGUUUCGACACCAGUGUUGUUUUUCUGAAAAUCAACUAAAGAACUGUUUAUGCUAAGCUGUUUAGACUUUAUCAGCUAUACUGUUUAGUUUUGAGCUUUUCUUUAAUGCACUUUUCAGUUAACAAGUCAACAUCAAUUUCUUUUGCUGUAAAAAAGCUUGAGGAAGGUGGCUUGAGAUUCGUCUUAAGUGUUUAUAGCCUCUUGCCUAUGCAGUCGGAGAGAUUGAGGUCUGCAGCGUAGAUCCUUCGGGGCUAAAUGCAUUUGUGCUAAGUUAUAGCAUUUUAUAGACAACUUGUUGACUAUGAUUUGUCUUGUAGCUUACUCGCUUAUGUUAUUUUACCUACGCUUAGGAUGUUGAGUCAUCACACAUCUCU